rnacentral:rRNA from 1 species
GAUGAACGCUGGCGGCGUGCCUAAUACAUGCAAGUCGAGCGAACAGACGAGGAGCUUGCUCCUCUGACGUUAGCGGCGGACGGGUGAGUAACACGUGGAUAACCUACCUAUAAGACUGGGAUAACUUCGGGAAACCGGAGCUAAUACCGGAUAAUAUAUUGAACCGCAUGGUUCAAUAGUGAAAGACGGUUUUGCUGUCACUUAUAGAUGGAUCCGCGCCGCAUUAGCUAGUUGGUAAGGUAACUGCUUACCAAGGCAACGAUGCGUAGCCGACCUGAGAGGGUGAUCGGCCACACUGGAACUGAGACACGGUCCAGACUCCUACGGGAGGCAGCAGUAGGGAAUCUUCCGCAAUGGGCGAAAGCCAGACGGAGCAACGCCGCGUGAGUGAUGAAGGUCUUCGGAUCGUAAAACUCUGUUAUUAGGGAAGAACAAAUGUGUAAGUAACUAUGCACGUCUUGACGGUACCUAAUCAGAGAGCCACGGCUAACUACGUG